AACACUUAGGCAAAAAGUCGAAAAAGGGGUCAAAACUAGCAUCGGUCGUCCGAAUGACACGCAAACACACUAAUAGCAUCGCGUAGGUAAUAGACACGCGUUAGAACUUACGGGAUUCGAUUCCGACAUACGGAGACCGAGUUAUCGCGGAGUUUGCAAAACUCGCCAACACUUGGGCAAAAAGUCGAAAAAGAGGUCAAAACCCGCAUCUGCCGUCCGAAUGACACGAAUACACACAUAUAGCACCGUGCAGGUAAUAGACACGCGUUAGAACUUACGGGACUCGAUUCUGACAUACGGAGACCGAGUUAUCGCCCAGUUUGCAAAACUCGCCAAGACUUAGGCAAAAAGUUGAAAAAGAGGUCAAAACUCGCAUCGGCCGUCCGAAUGACACGCAAACACACACAUAGAACCGCGUGGGUAAUAGACACGCAUUAGAACUUACGGUACUCGAUUCCGACAUACGGAGACCGAGUUAUCGCCCAAUUUGUAAAACCGGCCAACACUUAGGCAAAAAGCUGAAAAAGAGGUCAAAGACCCGCAUCGGCCGUUCGAAUGACACGGAAACACACACAUAACACCGCGUAGGUAAUAGACAUGCAUUAGAACUUACGGGACUCGAUUCCGACAUACGGAGACUGAGUUAUUGCCUAGUUUGCAAAACUCGCCAACACUUAGGCAAAAAGUUAAAAAAGGGGUCAAAACUCGCAUCGGUAGUCCGAAUGACACGCAAACACACUAAUAGCACCGCGUAGGUAAUAGAAAUGCGUUAGAACUUACGGGACUCGAUUCCGACAUACGGAGACCGAGUCAUCGCGGAGUUUAAAAAACUCGCCAACACUUGGGCAAAAAGCCGAAAAAGAGGUCAAAACCCGCAUCUGCCGUCCGAAUGACACGAAUACACACAUAUAGCACCGCGUUGGUAAUAGACACGCGUUAGAACUUACGGGAUUCGAUUCUGACAUACGGAGACCGAGUUAUUGCCCAGUUUGCAAAACUCGCCAACACUUAGGUAAAAAGCCGAAAAAGAGGUCAAAACUCACAUCGGCCGUCCGAAUGACAUGCAAACACACACAUAGAACCGCGUGGGUAAUAGACACGCAUUAGAACUUACGGGACUCGAUUCCGACAUACGGAGACCAAGUUAUCGCCCAAUUUGUGAAACUCGCCAACACUUAGGCAAAAAGCUGAAAAGAGGUCAAAAACCCGCAUCGGCCGUUCGAAUGACACGCAAACACACACAUAACACCGCGUAGGUAAUAGACAUGCAUUAGAACUUACGGGACUCGAUUCCGACAUACGGAGACUGAGUUAUCGCCCAGUUUGCAAAACUCGCCAACACUUAGGCGAAAAGUCAAAAAAAGGGUCAAAACUCGCAUCGGUAGUCCGAAUGACACGCAAACACACUAAUAGCACCGCGUAGGUAAUAGACACGCGUUAGAACUUACGGGACUCGAUUCCGACAUACGGAGACCGAGUUAUCGCGGAUUUUGCAAAACUCGCCAACACUCGGGCAAAAAGCCGAAAAAGAGGUCAAAACCCGCAUCUGCCGUCCGAAUGACACGAAUACAGACAUAUAGCACCGUGCAGGUAAUAGACAUGCGUUAGAACUUACGGGACUCGAUUCUGACAUACGAAGACCGAGUUAUUGCCCAGUUUGCAAAACUCCCCAAUACUUAGGCAAAAAGACGAAAAAGAGGUCAAAACUUGCAUCGGCCAUCCGAAUGACAUGCAAACACACACAUAGAACUGCGUGGGUAAUAGACACGCAUUAGAACUUACGGGACUCGAUUCCGACAUACGGAGACCGAGUUAUCGCCUAGUUUGCAAAACUCGCCAACACUUAGGAAAAAAGACAAAAAAUAGGUCAAAACCUGCAUCGGUCGUCUGAAUGACACGCAAACACACACAUAACACCGCGUAGGUAAUAGUCAUGCAUUAGAACUUACGGGACUCGAUUCCGACAUACGGAGACUGAUUUAUCGCCCAGUUUGAAAAACUUGCCAACACUUAGGCAAAAAGACGAAAAAUAGGUCAAAACCCGCAUCGGCCGUCCGAAUGACACGCAAACACACACAUAGCACCGCGUAGGUAAUUGACACGCAUAAGAACUUACGGGAUUCGAUUCCGACAUACGGAGACUGAGUUAUCGCCAAGUUUGCAAAACUCGCAAACACUUAGGCAAAAAGCAAAAAAAGAGGUCAAAACUCGCAUCGGCCAUCCGAAUGACAUGCAAACACACACAUAGAACCGCGUAGGUAAUUGACACGCAUUAGAACUAAUGGGACUCGAUUCCGACAUACGAAGACUGAGUUAUCGCCCAGUUUGCAAAACUCGCCAAGACUUAGGCAAGAAGCCAAAAAAGAGGUCAAAACCCGCAUCGGCCGUCCGAAUGACACGCAAACACAUACAUAGCACCGCGUAGGUAAUUGACACGCAUUAGAACUAAUGGGACUCGAUUCCGACAUACGAAGACUGAGUUAUCGCCCAGUUUGCAAAACUCGCCAAGACUUAGGCAAGAAGCCAAAAAAGAGGUCAAAACCCGCAUCGGCCGUCCGAAUGACACGCAAACACAUACAUAGCACCGCGUAGGUAAUUGACACGCAUUAGAACUAAUGGGACUCGAUUCCGACAUACGAAGACUGAGUUAUCGCCCAGUUUGCAAAACUCGCCAAGACUUAGGCAAGAAGCCAAAAAAGAGGUCAAAACCCGCAUCGGCCGUCCGAAUGACACGCAAACACAUACAUAGCACCGCGUAGGUAAUUGACACGCAUUAGAACUAAUGGGACUCGAUUCCGACAUACGAAGACUGAGUUAUCGCCCAGUUUGCAAAACUCGCCAAGACUUAGGCAAGAAGCCAAAAAAGAGGUCAAAACCCGCAUCGGCCGUCCGAAUGACACACAAACACACACAUAGCACCGCGUAGGUAAUAGACACGCGUUAGAACUUACGGGACUCGAUUUCGACAUACGAAGACUGAGUUAUCGCCCAAUUUGCAAAACUCGCCAACACUUAAGCAAAAAGUUAAAAAAGGGGUCAAAACUCGCAUCGGUCGUCCGAAUGACACACCAACACACUAAUAGAACCGCGUAGGUAAUAGACACGCGUUAGAACUUACGGGACUUGAUUCCGACAUACGGAGACUGAGUUAUCGCCCAGUUUGCAAAACUCGCCAACACUUGGGCAAAAAGACGAAAAAGAGGUCAAAACCCGCAUCGGCUGUCCGAAUGACACACAAACACUCACAUAGCACCGCGUAGGUAAUAGACACGCGAUAGAACUUACGGGACUCGAUUCCGACAUACGAAGACUGAGUUAUCGCCCAGUUUGCAAAACUCGCCAACACUUAGGCAGAAAGCCUAAAAAGAGGUCAAAACCCGCAUCUGCCGUCCGAAUGACACACAAACACACACAUAUAGCACCGUGUAGGUAAUAGACACGCCUUAGAACUUAAAGGACUCGAUUCUGACGUACGGAGACCGAGUUAUUGCCCAGUUUGCAAAACUCGCCAACACUUAGGCAAAAAGUCGAAAAGAGGUCAAAACCCGCAUCGGCCGUCCGAAUGACACGCAAACACACUAAUAGCACCGCGUAGGUAAGAGACACGCGUUAGAACUUAUGGGACUCGAUUUUGACAUAUGGAGACCGAGUUAUCGCCCAAUUUGCAAAACUCGCCAACACUUAGGCAGAAAGCCUAAAAGAGGUCAAAACCCGCAUCGGCCGUCCGAAUGACACGCAAACACACUAAUAGCACCGCGUAGGUAAGAGACACGCGUUAGAACUUAUGGGACUCGAUUUUGACAUAUGGAGACCGAGUUAUCGCCCAAUUUGCAAAACUCGCCAACACUUAGGCAGAAAGCCUAAAAGAGGUCAAAACCCGCAUCGGCCGUCCGAAUGACACGCAAACACACUAAUAGCACCGCGUAGGUAAGAGACACGCGUUAGAACUUAUGGGACUCGAUUUUGACAUAUGGAGACCGAGUUAUCGCCCAAUUUGCAAAACUCGCCAACACUUAGGCAGAAAGCCUAAAAGAGGUCAAAACCCGCAUCGGCCGUCCGAAUGACACGCAAACACACUAAUAGCACCGCGUAGGUAAGAGACACGCGUUAGAACUUAUGGGACUCGAUUUUGACAUAUGGAGACCGAGUUAUCGCCCAAUUUGCAAAACUCGCCAACACUUAGGCAGAAAGCCUAAAAGAGGUCAAAACCCGCAUCGGCCGUCCGAAUGACACGCAAACACACUAAUAGCACCGCGUAGGUAAGAGACACGCGUUAGAACUUAUGGGACUCGAUUUUGACAUAUGGAGACCGAGUUAUCGCCCAAUUUGCAAAACUCGCCAACACUUAGGCAGAAAGCCUAAAAGAGGUCAAAACCCGCAUCGGCCGUCCGAAUGACACGCAAACACACUAAUAGCACCGCGUAGGUAAGAGACACGCGUUAGAACUUAUGGGACUCGAUUUUGACAUAUGGAGACCGAGUUAUCGCCCAAUUUGCAAAACUCGCCAACACUUAGGCAGAAAGCCUAAAAGAGGUCAAAACCCGCAUCGGCCGUCCGAAUGACACGCAAACACACUAAUAGCACCGCGUAGGUAAGAGACACGCGUUAGAACUUAUGGGACUCGAUUUUGACAUAUGGAGACCGAGUUAUCGCCCAAUUUGCAAAACUCGCCAACACUUAGGCAGAAAGCCUAAAAGAGGUCAAAACCCGCAUCGGCCGUCCGAAUGACACGCAAACACACUAAUAGCACCGCGUAGGUAAGAGACACGCGUUAGAACUUAUGGGACUCGAUUUUGACAUAUGGAGACCGAGUUAUCGCCCAAUUUGCAAAACUCGCCAACACUUAGGCAGAAAGCCUAAAAGAGGUCAAAACCCGCAUCGGCCGUCCGAAUGACACGCAAACACACUAAUAGCACCGCGUAGGUAAGAGACACGCGUUAGAACUUAUGGGACUCGAUUUUGACAUAUGGAGACCGAGUUAUCGCCCAAUUUGCAAAACUCGCCAACACUUAGGCAGAAAGCCUAAAAGAGGUCAAAACCCGCAUCGGCCGUCCGAAUGACACGCAAACACACUAAUAGCACCGCGUAGGUAAGAGACACGCGUUAGAACUUAUGGGACUCGAUUUUGACAUAUGGAGACCGAGUUAUCGCCCAAUUUGCAAAACUCGCCAACACUUAGGCAGAAAGCCUAAAAGAGGUCAAAACCCGCAUCGGCCGUCCGAAUGACACGCAAACACACUAAUAGCACCGCGUAGGUAAGAGACACGCGUUAGAACUUAUGGGACUCGAUUUUGACAUAUGGAGACCGAGUUAUCGCCCAAUUUGCAAAACUCGCCAACACUUAGGCAAAAAGUCGAAAAAGGGGUCAAAACUCGCAUCGGACUCGAUUCCGACAUACCGAAACUGAGUUAUCGCCCAGUUUGCAAAACUCGCCAACACUUAGGCAAAAAGACAAAAAAUAGGUCAAAACCCGCAUCGGCUGUCUGAAUGACACACAAACACACACAUAGCACCGCGUAGGUAAUAGACACGCGUUAGAACUUACGGGACUCGAUUCCGACAUACGGAGACUGAGUUAUCGCCCAGUUUGCAAAACUCGCCAACACUUAGGCAAAAAGACGAAAAAGGGGUCAAAACUCGCAUCGGUUGUCCGAAUGACACGCCAACACACUAAUAGCACCGCGUAGGUAAUAUACACGCAUUAGAACUUACGGGACUCGAUUCCGACAUACGGAGACCGAGUUAUCGCCGAGUUUGCAAAACUCGCCAACACUUAGGCAAAAAGCCAAAAAAGAGGUCAAAACCCGCAUCUGCCGUCCCAAUGACACGCAAACACACAUAUAGCACCGUGUAGGUAAUAGACACGCGUUAGAACUUACGGGACUCGAUUCAGACAUACGGGGACUAAGUUAUCGCCCAGUUUGAAAAACUCGCCAACAUUUAGGCAAAAAGUCGAAAAAGGGGUCAAAACUCGCAUCGUUCGUCCGAAUGACACGCAAACACACUAAUAGCACCGCGUAGGUAAUAGACACACGUUAGAACUUACGGGACUCGAUUCCGACAUACAAAGACUGAGUUAUCGCGGAGUUUGCAAAACUCGCCAACACUUGGGCAAAAAGACGAAAAAGAGGUCAAAACCCGCAUCUGCCGUCGAAUGACACGAAUACACACAUAUAGCACCGUGCAGGUAAUAGACACGCAUUAGAACUUACGGGACUCGAUUCUGACAUACGGAGACCGAGUUAUUGCCCAGUUUGCAAAACUCGCCAACACUUAGGCAAAUAGCCGAAAAAGAGGUCAAAACUCACAUCGGGCAUCCGAAUGACAUACAAACACACACAUAGAACUGCGUAGGUAAUAGACACGCAUUAGAACUUACGGGACUCGAUUCCGACAUACGGAGACCGAGUUAUCGCGGAGUUUGCAAAACUCACCAACACUUAGGCAAAAAGCCGAAAAAGAGGUCAAAACCCGCAUCGGCCGUCCGAAUGACACGCAAACACACUAAUAGCACCGCGUAGGUAAUAGACACGCGUUAGAACUUAGUUAUUGCCCAGUUUGCAAAACUCGCCAACACUUAAGCAAAAAGUCGAAAAAGGGGUCAAAACGCGCAUCGGUCGUCCGAAUGACAUGCCAACACACUAAUAGCACCGCUUAGGGAAUAGACACGUGUUAGAACUUAUGGGACUCGAUUUUGACAUACGGAGACCGAGUUAUCGCGGAGUUUGCAAAACUCACCAACACUUAGGCAAAAAGCCGAAAAAGAGGUCAAAACCCGCAUCGGCCGUCCGAAUGACACGCAAACACACUAAUAGCACCGCGUAGGUAAUAGACACGCGUUAGAACUUAGUUAUUGCCCAGUUUGCAAAACUCGCCAACACUUAAGCAAAAAGUCGAAAAAGGGGUCAAAACGCGCAUCGGUCGUCCGAAUGACAUGCCAACACACUAAUAGCACCGCUUAGGGAAUAGACACGUGUUAGAACUUAUGGGACUCGAUUUUGACAUACGGAGACCGAGUUAUCGCGGAGUUUGCAAAACUCACCAACACUUAGGCAAAAAGCCGAAAAAGAGGUCAAAACCCGCAUCGGCCGUCCGAAUGACACGCAAACACACACAUAGCAUCGCGUAGGUAAUAGACACGCGUUAGAACUUACGGGACUUGAUUCCGACAUACGGAGACCGAGUUAUCGCGGAGUUUGCAAAACUCACCAACACUUAGGCAAAAAGCCGAAAAAGAGGUCAAAACCCGCAUCUGCCGUCCGAAUGACACACAAACACACAUAUAGCACCGUGUAGGUAAUAGACACGCCUUAGAACUUACGGGACUCGAUUCUGACGUACGGAGACCGAGUUAUUGCCCAGUUUGCAAAACUCGCCAAUACUUAGGCAAAAAGUCGAAAAAGGGGUCAAAACGCGCAUCGGUCGUCCGAAUGACAUGCCAACACACUAAUAGCACCGCUUAGGUAAUAGACACGUGUUAGAACUUAUGGGACUCGAUUUUGACAUAUGGAGACCGAGUUAUCGCCCAAUUUGCAAAACUCGCCAACAAUUAGGCAAAAUCCUGAAAAAGAGGUCAAAAACCCGCAUCGGCCGAUCGAAUGACACACAAACACACACAUAACACCGCGUAGGUAAUAGACAUGCAUUAGAACUUACGGGACUCGAUUCCGACAUACAGAGACUGAGUUAUCGCCCAGUUUGCAAAACUCGCCAACACUUAGGCAAAAAGUCAAAAAAGGGGUAAAAACCCGCAUCGUCCGUCUGAAUGACACGCAAACACACUAAUAGCACAGCGUAGGUAAUAGACACGCGUUAGAACUUACGGGAUUCGAUUCCGACAUACGGAGACCGAGUUAUCGCGGAGUUUGCAAAACUCGCCAACACUUAGGCAAAAAGCCGAAAAAGAGGUCAAAACCCGAAUCUGCCGUCCGAAUGACACGCAAACACACAUAUAGCACCGUGUAGGUAAUAGACACGCGUUAGAACUUACGGGACUCGAUUCUGACGUACGGAGACUGAGUUAUUGCCCAGUUUACAAAACUCGCCAAUAUUUAGGCAAAAAGCCAAGAAAGAGGUCAAAACUCGCAUCGGCCGUCCGAAUGACAUGCAAACACACACAUAGAACCGCGUGGGUAAUAGACACGCAUUAGAACUUACGGGACUCGAUUCCGACAUACGGAGACCGAGUUAUCGCCCAAUUUGCAAAACUCGCCAACACUUAGGCAAAAAGCCGAAAAAGGGGUCAAAACUCGCAUCGGUAGUUCGAAUGACACGCAAACACACUAAUAGCACCACGUAGGUAAUAGACACGCGUUAGAACUUACGGGACUCGAUUCCGACAUACGGAGACCGAGUUAUCGCGGAGUUUGGAAAAUACGCCAACACUUGGGCAAAAAGCCGAAAAAGUGGUCAAAACCCGCAUCUGCCGUCCGAAUGACACGAAUACAAACAUAUAGCACCGUGCAGGGAAUAGACACGCGUUAGAACUUACGGGACUCGAUUCUGACAUACGGAGUCCGAGUUAUUGCCCAGUUUGCAAAACUCGCCAACACUUAGGCAAAAAGUCGAAAAGAGGUCAAAACUCGCAUCGGUCGUCCGAAUGACAUGCAAACACACACAUAGAACCGCGUAGGUAAUAGACACGCGUUAGAACUUACGGGAUUCGAUUCCGACAUAAGGAGACCGAGUUAUCACCCAGUUUGCAAAACUCGCUAACACUUAGGCAAAAAGCCGAAAAAGAGGUCAAAACCCGCAUCGGUCGUCUGAAUGACACGCAAACACACCAAUCGCACCGCGUAGGUAAUAGACAUGCAUUAGAACUUACGGGACUCGAUUCUGACAUACGGAGACCGAGUUAUCGCGGAGUUUGCAAAACUCGCCAACACUUAGGCAAAUAGUCGAAAAAGAGGUCAAAACCCGCAUCGGUCGUCUGAAUGACACGCAAACACACCAAUCGCACCGCGUAGGUAAUAGACAUGCAUUAGAACUUACGGGACUCGAUUCUGACAUACGGAGACCGAGUUAUCGCGGAGUUUGCAAAACUCGCCAACACUUAGGCAAAUAGUCGAAAAAGAGGUCAAAACCCGCAUCGGUCGUCUGAAUGACACGCAAACACACCAAUCGCACCGCGUAGGUAAUAGACAUGCAUUAGAACUUACGGGACUCGAUUCUGACAUACGGAGACCGAGUUAUCGCGGAGUUUGCAAAACUCGCCAACACUUAGGCAAAAAGACGAAAAAUAGGUCAAAACCCGCAUCGGUCGUCUGAAUGACACGCAAACACACACAUAACACCGCGUAGUUAAUAGUCAUGCAUUAGAACUUACGGGACUCCAUUCCGACAUACGGAAACUGAGUUAUCGCCCAGUUUGCAAAACUCGCCAACACUUAGGCAAAUAGACGAAAAAUAGGUCAAAACCCGCAUCGGCCGUCUGAAUGACACGCAAACACACACAUAGCACCGCGUAGGUAAUAGACACGCGUUAGAACUUACGGGACUCGAUUCUGAUAUACGGAGACUGGGUUAUCGCCCAGUUUGCAAAACUCGUCAACACUUAGGCAAAAAGUCGAAAAAGGGGUCAAAACUCGCAUCGGUCGUCCGAAUGACACGCCAACACACUAAUAGUACCGCGUAGGUAAUAGACACGCGUUAGAACUUACGGGACUCGAUUCCGACAUAAGGAGACCGAGUUAUCACCCAGUUUGCAAAACUCGCCAACACUUAGGCAAAAAGCCAAAAAAGAGGUCAAAACUCUCAUCGGUCGUCUGAAUGACACACAAAUACACACAUAGCACCGCGUAGGUAAUUGACACGCGUUAGAACUUACGGGACUCGAUUCUGACUUACGGAGACCGAGUUAUCGCACAGUUUGCAAAACUCGUCAUCACUUAGGUAAAAAGUCAAAAAAGAGAUCAAAACCCGUAUCGGCCGUCCGAAUGAGACGCAAACACACACAUAGCACCGCAUAGGUAAUAGACAUGCCUUAGAACUUACGGGACUCAAUUCUGACAUACGGAGACUGAGUUAUCGCCCAGUUUGCAAAACUCGCCAACACUUAGGCAAAAAGUCGAAAACGGGGUCAAAACUCGCAUCGGUCGUCCGAAUGACACGCAAACACACCAAUAGCACCGCGUAGGUAAUAGACACGCGUUAGACCUUACGGGACUCGAUUCCGACAUAUGGAGACCGAGUUAUCGCGAAGUUUGUAAAACUCGCCAACACUUAGACAAAAAGCUGAAAAAGAGGUCAAAACCCGCAUCGGCUGUCCGAAUGACACGCAAACACACACAUAGCACCGCGUAGGUAAUAGACACGCGUUAGAAUUUACGGGACUUGAUUUCGACAUACGGAGACCGAGUUAUCGCCCAGUUUGCAAAACUCGGCAACACUCAGGCAAAAAGCCGAAAAAGAGGUCAAAACCCGCAUCGGCUGUCCGAAUGACACGCAAACACACACAUAGCACUGCGUAGGUAAUAGACACGCGUUAAAACUUACGUGACUCGAUUCCGACAUACGGAGACCGAGUUAUCGCCCAGUUUGCAAAACUCGGCAACACUCAGGCAAAAAGCCGAAAAAGAGGUCAAAACCCGCAUCGACCGUCUGAAUGACACGCAAACACACACAUAGCACUGCGUAGGUAAUAGACACGCAUUACAACUUACGGGACUCGAUUCCGACAUACGGAGACCGAGUUAUCGCCCAGUUUGCAAAACUCGCCAACACUUAGGCAAAAAGCCGAAAAAGAGGUCAAAACCCGCAUCGGAUGUCUGAAUGACACGUAAACACACACAUAGCACCGCGUAGGUAAUAGACACGCAUUAGAACUUACGGGACUCGAUUCCGACAUACGGAGUACGACUUAUCGCCAAGUUUGCAAAACUCGCCAACACUUAGGUAAAAAGACGAAAAAGAGGUCAAAACUCGCAUCGACUGUCCGAAUGACACGCAAACACACACAUAGCACCGCGUAGGUAAUAGACACGCGUUAGAACUUACGGGACUCGAUUCCGACAUAAGGAGACCGAGUUAUCGCCCAAUUUGCAAAACUCGCCAACACUUAGGCAAAAAGUCAAAAAAGAGGUCAAAAACCCACAUCGGCCGUCUGAAUGACACGCAAACACACACAUAGCAUCGCGCAGGUAAUAGACACACGUUAGAACUUAUGGGACUCGAUUCCGACAUACGGAGACUGAGUUAUCGCAAAACUCGCCAACACUUAGGCAAAAAGACGAAAAAAUAGGUCAAAACUCGCAUCGACUGUCCGAAUGACAUGCAAACACACACAUAGCACCGCGUAGGUAAUAGACACGCGUUAGAACUUACGGGACUCGAUUCCGACAUAAGGAGACCGAGUUAUCGCCCAAUUUGCAAAACUCGCCAACACUUAGGCAAAAAGUCAAAAAAGAGGUCAAAACCCGCAUCGGCUGUCCGAAUGACACCCAAACACACAUAUAGCACUGCGUAGGUAAUAGACACGCGUUAAAACUUACUGGACUCGAUU
rnacentral:lncRNA from 1 species